AAAUUACAGUUGCUUAACCUACAUAUCAAGCAGGACGGUAUAAUAUUUAGCGGUAGGAGAUUUUAAGUUAAGGAAAGCAAUGCAUAUACGUAUAUAUCAUAACCGAUUUUCUAUAUUAUUUAACUAUACAUGAAUAUGAUUUGUCCGAUUCGACAAUAAUGUUGCUGGCAUGGAACAUGCAAAAGUGCUUAGGUUGUGUGGAGCAUUAUUAUAUAUUCUAAUUAUUAUUACAAUUACAAUUAUAGAGUAAUUAUUACAUAUAUAGAGCACGCCAUCACUAACUUUCCCAGCAAUAUGCAUAACUUUUUCUUGCUUUUAACUCUUCGCACUCACAUGCCUCUCUUUUUUUUUGUAAAAAAAAGAAGAAGAAAAAGAAAGCCAUCUCACAAUCCUCUGCUGUUUUACCUUUUUAAAUUUUCUAUUUUUAAAUGGGAUAUUUCGUUGGGAUCGUACAAAUAUAUUUAACAUUCUUAAAUAUAUGAAAUCAUUUUUAAUCACUAAGUUUAUUACUCCGAUCCUUAGGGAAAAAACAACACUACUCUAAUAAAUCUAUAUAUUGGUCACUUAAGUGAAAACAUGAUUAAUUAAAUUUAAGUACAACAUAACAUAUAUAAAUUAAUACUCGGUAAAUUAAUAAUUUCUUUUUACAAUCCCGACUUGAACUAAUAGGUUAAAUUAAUAAUUUUAAUAAAUUAAUACGAUAAUAUCUUUAUUGAAAACACUUAUAUUAUUUUGUGGUUCCAUUCAUAUAAUAAAUUAAUUUUGCUAGCAUUACAAAUACAACCAACUAUGACAUUUUAUUAAAACAAUAUGACUCUAUUCAUAGACGUAGCAAAGAUUUUGAUCGAGUUGGGGCACAUUUGAAAUCACACGUGAUUAGGUGCAUGACAAUCGCCCCACAACCCCCAAAUGAGAGCUUACCACUCAAGUAGUCGUGCUCCAUAUGGUGCAUGACUGCACGCACUUGAUUAGCACCCCAUUUAGAAUAUAAUACAAUUUUAAAAAUUCGGAUAGCUAUACAUAACAUCGUAACUAUAAUAUUCAUUGAUACUAAAUUUACUCCAAACAAUUGUUCUUGUGAAAGAUUCAUUGGCAAGAUUUUAUGUGUUGAAAAUAAUGUAAGACAGUUUUAAUAUCAAUACAAUGAAAAACAUUUUUUUCAAUGUACUUAAUUUAUUCUUAAAAUCUUUUAAUAUAGCAAAAAUAUUCAUAUAAUUGAAAACUAGAAUUAACUAGACUUAGGGAUCAAUGUGGAAAGACUAAAUAAUUGAAGGAAAGUGUUUUUUAUUUGUAGAAAAUGGGAUGAAAUCCGCACGUUGACGGACAUCAAUGCUCUGAUAGGCUACUCCAUCACCAGCGUGACGAUUGACGAAUAAAUAAAGAAAAUGCUUUUGAUUUAAAGCAUUGUAAAGAGACAAGAAAAACAAAAAGAGUAAAGUGAAUCUCUUUUGGUUAUUUUAUUUUUUUAUU
rnacentral:lncRNA from 1 species